CACACAUUCAGUCAUCCUUUAACACUCACCCACUUUUUUGUAACAUACAAAUGCGCUCAAGAGUUUGCCACUGAAGAUGGAGUUUCAGUUGAAGCGCUUCUGUCUGUCUAUUUUAAGAUUAAAUAUGCAGCAAUAACCUUCAAAUACAAAGAACAUGGUUAAUGCAUUAGUGUGAGCGUGUGUGUAAUAUAUGACAAUUUCUAUGUUUAGCUGUACAAGAUAAGUAUAAAGAGGCGCUCAUGACAGACUUUCUCUAUUUCAGAUUCCACACAGCUUUUGUGUUCCAUUUUGUAUUUAUUCUUGCUGCAAUUUCAAAGUAAUGCAUUUGUUUUUAUUAUUGAGCCUUUUAAAUGAUGACUGAAACUUGUAUGUUAACAGGUUAAGUGGAAAAUACAUGAUAACAGGUUCCCAGAUAAUUAGAAUUAAAACUAAACUAAACUGUAAACUACUUUAGCAAGAUUUUGGCAAUUUUGUGGCAACUUGAUUGUUUAUGCCAAGUUAGUGCAAGUGAUAUGAGCGGGAUCUGAAAACCAUCCAUUUGUUUAAAAGGAGCUUAGUAAAAGUUAAAUCAAGAAAACUACUACAUUGUACACUCAGUAAACAGAAAAAAACAACACUGUAUAAAGUAAUAUCAUCCAAUAAAACAAUUCUGCAUUGCAUUCAUUUGUGAGUUUAGUUGUUGCUGUGACUGUUAUAGAGAAUAUUUCAUUCAAUUAUAGCAUUUGAAGCUGGGGUUAGUGGUUUCUGGAUUGCAUUAUAUCAAAAGGUAUUUUUAUAUCCACCAUUGUGACAGCCAUGAAGCCAAGUCAUCUAAACCAUUACAUUCAUGCUAUGCAGUGACUAGCAAAAAAUACUGAAUAUUAUAACAUUCAUGUAAAAAAAAACCCAAAAAACGGUGGGUCAACUGUCUUGGAAAAGAUAACAAGAUGGCUUGAGUUGCAAAAAUAGAUAAAUACAGUGAGGAAACUAAAACUUGGACAUCCAGAGGGGAAUAAUGUGUGUCACCAAUAUCAAACGGAUCUCCCCCUUCAGCACCUCCACCAAACGUUCUGGUGCUCGGAAGCAUGUCUACCGUACCUCUCUACCAGGCCAUCUGUGUCUGGGUGAUAAGGAGAUGUCCUGAUAGCGGUAAUGCCCAACUCCUUAUACAGCUGUCUCAUCAGGCGGGAUGUAAAGUUGAUUCCCUGGUCGGUCAGGAUCUCCUCUGGGAUGCCUACGUGAGAAAAGAGCUGGACAAGAGCACUGAGCAAUUUUAGAGUGGUUACCGACUACAGAGGAAAAGCUUCAGGGAAUCCAGUAGCGUAUUGACAUACAACACGAAUAUACUGAUAUCUUGCUGAGCUUUUUUCCAGGGGCCCCACAAUGUCCAUUGCAAUCCAUUUAAAUGGGGUGGUAAUCACCGGCAUGGCUUAUCUUCCAGUUUACACAAUCAGCAAUUUUACUGCCAGUUCUUACAUUGAACAAAUAUAACUCAUUAAAGGGAUCAUCACUUCCUAGUCAAAUACCUUAAAUAAAGCCCAAAACUCUGACACAAUUUCAUCAAUAAGGUAACAUAAUCUAUUGUAACCCGGGUAACAAAGAGUUAACAACAUGGAAGUGCCUCAGCCAAUCAGAGCGCAGGUCCGCAGCACCGUAGGCAAGCUACACAGCGUACGCUAGUCAGACGCUGGGUGACACUGUUGAGAGAGGACCCACUGCUGAACGCUUGUAGAUGUGUGUGUGUGAGAUGCUGCUCACUGAAACCUGCCGAGUGACACAGAGGAAAUCCCGCAUUGGUCAGGUUUUUUGAGUUGAUUUGAAGUUGAUGGCGAGCCAAACCAGACGAGACCAUUAGAUCCCUGGAUUGAAGAUCCCUGAACCGAGAGCCCAGAGCCGAGAACUGUCAACUUUACCUCUCUCCUGCCACAGUGGUAGGGCAAACAUCUUAACUGCACAAGGCCAGCACCACUUUCAUGCUCAACCCCCAGCCCCACUUGCACAAUCCAAAAUCCCAGACUCUGACUUAACUCUCUAUUUUUUGACUCGACUUGGAAAAGACACUUACCUUCUUCAUUCUUCUUCAAACGCAUUCCCUGUGCCUGUGGAAGAACUGAGCCAUGACCAGCACUGGUUAAAAUGAGUGGACAAAGUAUUCAUUUGUUAUUGCUGGAGCAGUGAAAAGUGAACUGUUGUAAGGUUGAAGUGUGUUGUGAAGUGAUAAUAUUGAACAUGAUGUGGUUCAUCACAUCGAAAUAUUGAGAAUUGAGAUUACCUAUAGAAGGGUUCACCCAGUCAAAACAGAGAAGUAGUAGUAAAACUCAGUGGUUCAAAACCAAAAGAAGGGGUGACAGAAGAAAUCAUUUGUUGCUGAAUUGAAACUGCGAUAUCUUUGUGGAAUUUAACUAUUUGCUGAACUUAAAGUUAUUUAAUUUAUUUUGUUUAUUUUCAAAAAUAAUACACGGUACCAGUUUACAGCUUCUUGUCUCGUGUGGUCAUUUAAUGUUGCAAAUAUCCAUUUCUGCCUCCUGUCCGAAUCUGGUAUCAUCUGAUUCUGGUCCAGAAUUAUUACAAUCCUUACUAAAUAGUAGUGUUAGGAGCCGAGUGCUACACUAUGAUCUAGUUAAACAUGGUAUCUUCCGCCAUCGGCACACAUGCACGUGACCACUAUAGCCUCUAUUUAAAACAGCACUAUGCAUCGGCCCUGUUUCGGACUGCUGAGCAAAACACUUCCUCGUGAGAUGAGUAUUAAUAAAUCGA